GAAGAUAUGGACGAACAACAAGAAGAAGGUAUGGAGGUCCCAACAACUGAACCUAUGGAAGUAGAAGAAUCGUUUACAGCCGAAACCCGAUACGAUGUGCCAGUUCCGGUCAUGGAGUCCUCCAUCUCAGGCGAUGCCGACGUUAGUGUCUUCUGCGACGAAGAACCCGUAGUGGUGUAUACGCAGGUAGAAGCUGGUACCUCCCGUGGCAAGUCCAAGUUGUUUGACAACCAAGGGUUUAGUUAUACAAUUAAGACAGAGAAGAAAACUACGAUUUGGAGGUGUUCCAAAAGAAGCGGACCAACACGAUGUCCGGCAACAGUAAUCCAAGAUGGUGAUACAUACCAACCAGGCUUAAAGAACCAUCUUCACCCAGCAGAACCCGGUAUACACACGGCUACCAAGAUAAAAGUUACAGCAAAGCAUGAAGCCAAAGGAAAUGUUUUUACCAAGUCAUGUUCCUCAAUAGCGGAGAGAGUUUUAUCCAGUGUCGGUUCUGCAGAAGAACCCAUUCAUAGCAGACCACUCAUGGCAGCACUUGUAAGGUCGCUACAAAGAACCCGACAGACUCUGCGACCA